GGCCUGGUAGCACAAGUGGAUAGUGCAUCUACGUCAACUUUGAAGCAACUCUAGGUAAAGCUUGCACAGAUGACCUCUGUUCGAAUCAGAGCUAGGCCG